UAGCUCUUUAACAAUUUGGAAAGCUGACGAAUAACAACAAUCCCCUUAUCUACGGAUAAGCGUUGUUAUUCAAAUUAAAAGUUCUCAAAUCCUAGAUGACUUGUUCAUUUAGGUACCAACACACAUUCAAGUGUUCUUGGGUUUUCACGAAAGUGAAAACAUAUUUGAGUCCGGCAAAAUCGAAGUGUUGUCUCGCUCAUAAUAAAGAGACAACGAUAAACCUUGGUUGUUUGCCAUACAGAAACCUUUUGGGGUUGUAU
rnacentral:misc_RNA from 1 species